CAGUCUACCAAGUCUUCAAAAUCAAGAAGCACAAAGCGGUCGUAUCUUGGAGAAGGCCGAAGCUGAAAGAGAAUCAUGGGGUGAAAAUCCCUUCUAUGACAAAAAUUACAGACACUAAACCUCUUCAAAAUCCACCUAGCAGCUUGAAGACAACCUUUGCCCACGAGCCUCAUGCAAGCUUUUUAGUUGCAUCAGACUGAAGACGACCUUCCCAAAUUUCUGACUCUCAGUAUACUGUACCUUGUUACAUCCACUGCCAGUCUGUCGCUGGACAAUGAUGAGUUCUAGAGCAAUUGUGGACUGUGUUUGUAAAUGGAGGCAGAUGCUACCGUUGAUCAUUUUUCACUGUACGUUUCUUCCUUCUGGUUGGUUGUACGUGCUCUGCUGCAAUUUCAAGCGAACAGAUUUCAGCA